rnacentral:lncRNA from 1 species
AGACUACUAAGUUACAAUGUAAUUAAAUUUAAAAUGUCUAAUUAGAGAGUCUCAAAUUUAUUUGGUGUCCUUCCUAACGUCCCAAAAUGUAUCUCCAAAGUUUUCCCUGCAAUAAAUAUUGCAUAAUUAGCUCAGAAAAUUCAAAUUAAUUAAAAUUAGAAUUUCGGGUCAAAUUAAGCGCAAUUAUUAAAAACGGGAAAAUACCGGACAAUUAAGCAUAAUUCCCUGAUUAAUUCUAGCACAAUAAACUAAGUGAAAUCAAUAAAAUAUCGACUCAUCAAAAUAGACCACACUUAGUCUUUUGCACUCCUGGGCAAAAUCAAGACGUUAAUCAGGGAACAACUAAGAGGACAUCACGGAGGUGACAGUCUCAACAUAAAGAAAACUAAGACUCACAAGGGAACAAACAGAAUUACAGGCCUCAAGAAAUCUGGACAAAGAAAAUGAGUAGACAACAUCCAAAACAGAAUCAGAGAAAACAGAUACUCAUGAAGUCAUCCAAGCAAUUCAAGACAUGGAAAAAUGAUCAGUCAGCUCAAGAGGUGAAACAAUAGCAAUAGAACCUCACAGAUGCACACUAUCAAUGUUUCUCUCAAGUGUCUAGGAUAAACAAUGUCAACU